rnacentral:rRNA from 1 species
UAGAGGUAGCAAUACCUUGAGAGUGGCGAACGGGUGAGUAAUACAUCGGAACAUGCCCAAUCGUGGGGGAUAACGUAGCGAAAGUUACGCUAAUGCCGCAUAAGAUCUACGGAUGAAAGCGGGGGACCGUAAGGCCUCGCGCGAUUGGAGUGGCUGAUGUCAGAUUAGCUAGUUGGUAGGGUAAAAGCCUACCAAGGCAACGAUCUGUAGCUGGUCUGAGAGGACGACCAGCCACACUGGGACUGAGACACGGCCCAGACUCC